rnacentral:SRP_RNA from 1 species
GCCGGGCAUGGUGGCUCAUGCCUGUAAUCCCAGCCCUUUGGGAGGCCAAGGCGGGUGGAUCGCCAGAGGUCAGGAGUUCAAGACCAGCCUGGCCAACAUGGUGAAACCCCGUCUCUA